CUUCAUGUGUACACCUUUCUGCACCAAAGUAUCGCAGAAAUCGACUUAUGCGCCAUUGCAUUAGCCCGACCCAAGAUGUAGUUGAUAAUAACCGGGAAAUGGAUAGCGAAAAUGAUAGUGAAAUUGCUUCCGUAUCGUCAUUUCAAGAAGGAGAGGAGAUAGAAGCGGAGGUUAAAACAGAGGCAUUUGAGAAUCAGACUAUAUGGAACCAAACGAGGGAGAUUAUGAUGUUUACAGGGCCUGCUACGGGGCUUUGGUUAUGUGGGCCGUUGAUGAGUCUCAUUGAUACUGCAGUUAUCGGUC
rnacentral:misc_RNA from 1 species